UGGCGAACGGGUGAGUAACGCGUGAGGAACCUGCCUCAAAGAGGGGGACAACAGUUGGAAACGACUGCUAAUACCGCAUAAGCCCACGACCCGGCAUCGGGUAGAGGGAAAAGGAGCAAUCCGCUUUGAGAUGGCCUCGCGUCCGAUUAGCUAGUUGGUGAGGUAAUGGCCCACCAAGGCGACGAUCGGUAGCCGGACUGAGAGGUUGAACGGCCACAUUGGGACUGAGACACGGCCCAG
rnacentral:rRNA from 1 species